rnacentral:rRNA from 1 species
UACGUAGGGGGCAAGCGUUGUCCGGAUUUAUUGGGCGUAAAGAGCGUGUAGGCGGCUUUACAGGUCCGUUGUGAAAACUCGAGGCUCAACCUCGAGACGCCGGUGGAAACCGUAAAGCUAGAGUCCGGAAGAGGAGAGUGGAAUUCCUGGUGUAGCGGUGAAAUGCGCAGAUAUCAGGAAGAACACCCGUGGCGAAGGCGGCUCUCUGGGGCGAUACUGACGCUGAGGAGCGAAAGCAUGGGUAGCGAACAGG